CCCGGAGCCGCCGGUGACCAGCCAUGGUGAACCCCACUGUGUUCUUCGACAUCGCUGUCGACGGCGAGCCCUUGGGCCGCGUCUCCUUCGAGCUGUUUGCAGAAAAAGUUCCAAAGACAGCAGAAAUCUUCCGUGCUCUGAGCACUGGGGAGAAAGGAUUUGGUUAUAAAGGUUCCUGCUUUCACAGAAUUAUUCCGGGAUUUAUGUGCCAGGGUGGUGACUUCACAUGCCAUAAUGGCACAAGUGGCAAGUCCAUCUAUAGGAAGAAAUUUGAGGAUGAGAACUUCAUUCUAAAACAUACAGGUCCUGGCAUCUUGUCCAUGGCAAAUGCUGGACCUAACACAAAUGGUUCCCAAAUUUUUAUCUGCACGGCCAAGCCUGAGUGGUUGGAAGGCAAGCAUGUGGUCUUCGGCCAGGUGAAAGACGGCAUGGAUAUUGUGACAGCCAUGGAGCCCUUGGGGUCCAGGAAUGGCAAGACCAGCAAGAAGAUCACCAUUGCUGACUGUGGACAACUCUAAUAAAUUUGACUUGUGUUUUAUUUUAA